GACGAACGCUGGCGGCGUGCCUAAUACAUGCAAGUAGAACGCUGAAGGAGGAGCUUGCUUCUCUGGAUGAGUUGCGAACGGGUGAGUAACGCGUAGGUAACCUGCCUGGUAGCGGGGGAUAACUAUUGGAAACGAUAGCUAAUACCGCAUAAUAGUAGAUGUUGCAUGACAUUUGCUUAAAAGGUGCAAUUGCUUCACUACCAGAUGGACCUGCGUUGUAUUUGCUAGUUGGUGGGGUAACGGCUCACCAAGGCGACGAUACAUAGCCGACCUGAGAGGGUGGUCGGCCACACUGGGACUGAGACACGGCCCAGAGUCCUACGGGAGGCAGCAGUAGGGAAUCUUCGGCAAUGGACGGAAGUCUGACCGAGCAACGCCGCGUGAGUGAAGAAGGUUUUCGGAUCGUAAAGCUCUGUUGUAAGAGAAGAACGAGUGUGAGAGUGGAAAGUUCACACUGUGACGGUAUCUUACCAGAAAGGGACGGCUAACUACGUG
rnacentral:rRNA from 1 species